GAUGGAAACGGAGCGGGACGUGCAAGCGCAUAAACCAGCUUUACUGCAAGACCUACAAGUCGAGCAGUCGCGAAAGCGGAAGCUAGUGAUCCGACGACUCCUCAUAGGAGGGUCGAAGCUCAUCGGACAAAAGCUACUCCGG
rnacentral:rRNA from 1 species